rnacentral:rRNA from 1 species
GACGUAGGAUGCAAGCGUUGUCCGGAUUUAUUGGGCGUAAAGAGUUCGUAGGUGGUUCGUUAAGUCUGAUGUUAAAGACCGAGGCUCAACUUCGGGACUGCAUUGGAUACUGGCGGACUUGAGUGUGGUAGAGGCAAUCGGAAUUCAAGGUGUAGCGGCGAAAUGCGUAGAUAUCUGGAAGAACACCGGUGGCGCAAGCGGAUUGCUGGGCCAUAACUGACACUGAGGAACGAAAGCUAGGGGAGCGAAUGGG